rnacentral:lncRNA from 13 species
UACACCGAUGGUAAUGUAGCAAUCUGUCUAAAUAAAACUGCAAGAUAAAGCAGGACGAGCUUCACGAUAAUUCACCAGAGGUCACGCUCGUCUCCCGCCACUCCGCCGAGUUUCUUUUGUUCUGUGUAAUGAUUUCUAAUUGAGGACGAUUGAGAACCUGUCCAUGAGAUUAAUCUGACCAAGAACGGUAAGCGGUACUGCCGACGGAGAUUUAUGAAGAUUGCAAUUUGUAGUCGAUCAGCACUGUCGCUCCAAUAUCGCGAUUCAACGCGAAACGACUAGGCCUCAAAGGCGAUCGAAUGUUGUAAUUCGUCUCUCUCCUCGAGGCCCCUUCGCCAUUUUGAAAACGGUAAUUACUUUUGAACGGUAAUUACAUAUCCUAUUCAAAUUGACGCAUUCUAGAUGAUCGCGAGAGUGGAGGGCGAGGGAGAUUUCACAAUGACAACGCGGACCGAUAAAUUCGAGGAUGCGAUCAAAUCAAGUCCGCCAUGAGAAAUCUCUGCGGUGGCUCAGACGUAAUUUCGUGAUCGAAUAGAGACGUGGCAAGAGGCUAUGGAACAUCGAAACGAUCGACGAUCAUUUGCGACGUUAACUCGAUCGGCGUCGUAGCAUUACCCGAUUUGACUCCUUUGAGUUAAUCGGAUAGUCGUGCGAACCACUAGCCAGUUACGUUGUUCCCGUUGAUUUGCGGUGAACACACCGAAAUUAACCGAUGUAAAUGCUCUUGCAAGUGGCAGGAGGAGACCAUUAGAUCAAUUACAUAGAUCGAGGAGUCGUUUGGUUCGGAUGAUAGAGCAGGAGCCGACGAAAUUAUUCAGACGUCUGAAUGAGUCCAAGGACGUGGCGAGGACAUUGACGAAUCCAACGAUUGUUAGUCUAAUCUAAUUAACCAAAUUGCAUGGUGUAGUUUCCCGAAGCUUUAGUUAGCCCUCGAUUUUUGAUCCUCGAUCCACUCUUCGUAAUCGGGGAGUCAUGGACGUUUGUCGACGAGAUCGAAGGCAGGAAGAUCGAUUUCGAGUCGAUCGAACGAGUCUUAUUCAUUAGAAUCGGGAUCCGCGCGUGCACGUUCACGCUUUCGCGCGUGCACACGCGAAGGACCACAGAGACGCACGCGGAAAUCUGCGAAUUUGCGUACACGUACGCGGCGCGUUCGCACAUACACGCGCAUGCAUCGGGGAGAUUUCGUACAGUCGGUACCAGAUUGAUUUGGUUUACCUAAACCGCUAUCCUGUCCCCCUCCCUGGAAAUCAGAGAAAGAGAGGAGGGUGCCGGUGGAUCCCGCCCUGGAUUUUCAGCCGGCAAGUCGCGGCGAGGAAGGGUGUUUACUCAAGACACGACAAUUCAUUACGUAAUUGAAUUGAAUGAGCCCUCUCCUUCGCUCCGCGUCGCCCAUUCCCUUCCGAAGCGUUCGGCUCGAACGUGUACGCGUGCGAAUGCUCAGGCACGCGUGUGCGUGGCCUACGCGAACCGAGGGGUGCACCGGGAUUCAGAGGUGGAUUAAGGGUCGGAAGGGGCCCCAGAAGCAGACCUAAGUUGCAAAGUCUUUUGCGAAAGUAAGAUUCUCACAGGUGCUUGAGAACGGCUUCCUUGAAUCGCAAUUACUCGAGGAUGUUCUUUCAAUUUGCGUCGGAGAUACGGCGAGAAUUGUGAAAAAGCUCUCUGGAAUUCUGCACGUCGCGUUGAAACGGGAUCGUCUCGGACGAUGCAGCACAGGAUUUUGCUACGUCCCUGGUGGAACUCACCGUAACCCUCGUUUGUCGUCGUCGUCGGCACCGCGCAGCGUCUACGCUCCUCUUCUCCGAGACCGGGGAGAUCCGAAGGCUGGGACCGACCGGAGGGGUUGGUAGCGAGAGCGACCGAAUUAAACGAUUAGUUAAACUGAUUUCGAGUUAGGCGAAUGAAUAAGUAAUCGGAUUUCUCGUUAAGACCCGGCGCAGAAAGUCGACGAUCCGACGACCGAUAACGAGGCAGGACAAAAAGGAAGAGCUUCGACCGCGGAAAGCAUGGGAUUAAUU